CGAACGGGUGAGUAACGCGUGAGGAACCUGCCUCAAANAGGGGGACAACAGUUGGAAACGACUGCUAAUACCGCAUAAGCCCACGGCUCGGCAUCGAGCAGAGGGUAAAGGAGCAAUCCGCUUUGAGAUGGCCUCGCGUCCGAUUAGCUAGUUGGUGAGGUAACGGCCCACCAAGGCGACGAUCGGUAGCCGGACUGAGAGGUUGAACGGCCACAUUGGGACUGAGACACGGCCCAGACUCCUACGGGAGGCAGCAUG
rnacentral:rRNA from 1 species